ensembl:lincRNA
NNNNNNNGUCCAGUUUGGCCAUCUCCUGCACGUAGAUGCCGAUGCUCUUGCUGUCGAAGAGCAGGAAGUACACAUUCUUCAGCAAGGGCGAGCCCGAAUCAUCGUCGAAAUGAGAAGCGUUGACUUAAGAGAUGCCAAGUAACUCAGCAGAUGUCACACAGACGAUAAAUAGCAAAGAUGGAAGUCUUCAUGCCGGAGGCAAUCCUAUAAGACAGCUGAGCUCUGCAGAGCUGGUAGGAGACAGACUUGCUCAGGUGAUAGAUCCAGCCAUGAUAUUGACCCUAAGAGAAUGAGACACACUGCAGAAGACAGAAGAUUCCUGAAACUGGGAAAGGUGCCUAGAAAUCCUGAGAAGAGUGACGAAGUAGCUGGCAGAGCAGCCUUCCUCCGCACUAUGAAAGACAUCCAACAGAGAGCUAGUUCCCACCUCACUUCCAGCUUGACUCCUCUUUAUCUCCUAACUGCGUGCGGUCUGUGAUGUCUUCAGCAGUGGUAUUAACUAGUUCUGGGUACCUGGAGGCACAGCAGCCAUGUUGAACCUAUGAGGUGAUGAAAAACCAUGCAACUAGAAACCAGAAUGGAAGAAAAGAAGAAACUGGAUCCUUGACUGAAUUGUCGAUGGGGGAUAGUCCAUCAUCCCAGGGCUAAGACCACCUCCAGAUUUCUUGUUUGGUGAAACAAGUCCUGAUUGCUUACAUUCCCUCGUGUUGAGCUGUCUCUUGCUUGUCGCUGAAAGCAUUUCUAAUAGAUAUUCAGAUUAUCAGCCUUAGCUCCAAGCCAGAAUACUCUAUGGGACCUUAGCUUCUCCAUGAAUUCCUUUGCUCAUCUGUGUAAUGCUCAAUAAAUGUAAAUUGAACCCUGAAUGAGGGACAAUGAC